rnacentral:rRNA from 1 species
UACGUAGGGUGCAAGCGUUAAUCGGAAUUACUGGGCGUAAAGCGUGCGCAGGCGGUUAUGCAAGACAGAUGUGAAAUCCCCGGGCUCAACCUAGGAACUGCAUUUGUGACUGCAUGGCUAGAGUACGGUAGAGGGGGAUGGAAUUCCGCGUGUAGCAGUGAAAUGCGUAGAUAUGCGGAGGAACACCGAUGGCGAAGGCAAUCCCCUGGACCUGUACUGACGCUCAUGCACGAAAGCGUGGGGAGCAAACAGG